rnacentral:rRNA from 1 species
AGGUCAGCAUACUGCCGUGAAUACGUUCCCGGGCCCUUGUACACACCGCCCGUCACACCAUGAGAGUUGGAAAUACCCGAAGCCUGUGAGCUAACAGUAAUGAGGCAGCAGUCGAAGGUAGAGCCAAUGAUUGGGGUGAAGUCGUAACAAGGUAAC